rnacentral:tRNA from 1 species
GGGCGGAUGGCGGAAUUGGUAGACGCACCACACUCAAAAUGUGGCGACCUUACGGUCGUGAGAGUUCGAGUCUCUCCCCGCCCA